AAUUUUCUGAGUUUUUUCUUGUAACAUUUUGUCAUUGUUUUCUUGUAAAUUUACCCAGUAUUUUCAGAGUUAGCUAUUUUAUUUCUCAUAAAUUCGCAAGAUUGUUCCUUGUGAUGUGCUUGGAAUUUUUUUAAAUUGCAUUUUUUUUAAAUUAACAUUUUUACUUUUUAAAUUAAGAAGUUUUUAGUAAGUUUACCAGUUGUUUCCAUACAUUUGCUAGCUUGUUUCUCAUUCAUUCGUUUAGCAUUAUCUACGUAAAUGUUUUAUUUUCUCUCAUAUAUUUCAGUUUUUUGAAAAUUUACCAACUAUUUUCAUAGAAAUUUGCAGGUUUUUUCACAUAAAUGUUCUAUUCUUUUCCUCAUAAAUUCACGUUUUUUGUCAUAAAUGUUGACCUUUUUUCCUUCUUUCUUCUUUCUCUUUGAGAGCAGUUUUUCACUCAUAGUGACUCAGAUUAGCAAAUUAUUGCAGCUGGAAGGACAAAAACGACAUAUUGUCACCCAGGUCUGUAGGCUGUCCUCUAACUGGGAGUAUAUUUGCUUAUUCGGCAUGUCAGCUCAUCUGUACAGAACAGGUCUGUGCAACUUAUGGUGUCAAGAGCAAACGGAAGAGGUCAUUUGAGGCUAAACUAAUGUACUAUUUAGUCACUUUGGCUUUUUGGGCUAAUUGGAGAGACCUGCUUUUAAAAACAUAAAUUUUUUUCACUGAUUGUUUCUGUUCUGUCACUUUGCCUUCACCAGUGUUUGGUUAGUAAUCACAAAUCAUCAUUAGGUCUGAAGCUAUCAGUGAUCUCAGUGAUAUUUUUCCCAGAUAAACAUAUCUGCAGUGUGAUGCUACAGUAUGCACAAAGGACUUUAAAUUGAUUGUGUGCAGUUUCACUGGCUUAGCAUCUGGCGCUCGUGAUAAUCCCCCUUCUGUCCUGCAUCAGUCGCACGUAUUGAUGAAGCACUCAGGGCUGUAGUACUACAUUUACUCGGCACAUUAGCCCAUUACAGUUAUGGGCAGGCAAGGAAGAGGUACUUUUAACCUGCACAAACUCAGCGAGUCCGUCACUAGUACCUGCAUGGGGAUGAAUAGCAGCUGUAGGUGCUGUCUCAGCAGGGAGGAGAUGAAAAGUGUUUUGGCAGGCGCCGCACCGGUCCAGAUUGUAACCCCUAUUUCUGCCUCCAAAAACCUGCCUUGGAGGAGCGUCCACGGAGGGAUUAGGGAUUUAGUGGGGAAGGUAAGUGUGACUACAAGCUUUGGCUCGCCAUCUGCUCCCCAGCAGAGUUGAGGCCAACCUGUGCAGCCUGCAGCAAAGACCUGGGCACUGUGCUAACUCUGGCUCGAGCCAACCUGGCGCCCGCGGCCCCAAUCACCAACAGUCUGCUGAUUAGUUGUAAGAAGCACUCCAUAUGUAGCAAAGUUUUUUUUCCUCCUCUCUCUCUGUCUGUCUGUCUCCUUCCCUUCCUUCCUCUCUUCCUUCUGUAUCCUCUCGCCGCAUUAAAUAAAUAUGGAUGCAUGGAUUUUUUUUUUUUUAAUCGCCUUCGGUGGUCUGUUUUUCUUCUCGCUCACCUCUGACAGAAUACCAAGCCAGGGGAAGGAAAGGAAAAGAAGAUGAAGAGGGUGAAGUAGAAGGAGAAGAAAAAGAAGAAGAAGAAAUCCUGGCUGUCCUCCUCUCCCUUCUUCUCCUUCCCCUCCCUUGCUCUCUUUUGCCUGGCAGCGCCGGGAGACAGAUGACAGGGGUUUGUGGCCGUCUGAUCACCCCUGGGUGGGUAUUUUCUAAUUUAUUUAACGGCAGCUUAUUAAAGAAGAAGAAAAAAAAACAAGAUGAAGAAGAGGAGGACGGAGAAUAAAGAACACAGGAGGAAGGCAGGUCUCUCGCCCCAACGCUGCCCAAAGAAGAGGAGGCAGCGACUCCCUUGGUGGAGAUACCCGAGAAGAUCAAACGACACCAGAGGAGAAGAAGGAGGGGAGGAAAAAAAGCACAAGAAACAUAAUGCUCAUUAUUAAAUUGCAGCCAUUCCUGUUGCCAGGAACCUAUUUCUCAGUAUUAAUUAUUCAUAUUUUAUUUCAGUAAUCCAAUACUCAGGUGAGAGCGGGUGCUUGUGAUAGAACGUGUAAUUUUGAAGCUUAAUGGCAGUGGGGCGGCCCGAGCAAGGGAUUAGAAACAGAGUAUAAAUCACUAAUGGCUGCGUGGACGUACGGCGGCUUGAAUCCGUCUUGCUUUGUGUUUACUUGUGUUUUAUUGCGCCACGACGCUCCGAGGGAAACACUUCGCCGUGACCUUUCUCUCCCUCCACAACCCCCCGAAACUUGAGAAACAGGGCUGCAAGAAUGUGAGAAAAGAGGAAAAACUAGUGUCACACUUUGCAGGGAAAACAAUUUUCCCGCUUUGUCUAAACAAAGAGUUCAUCAGCAUUUUUCUCUGGUUUCCCGGCUGACAGUGAAUGCGCAGGAAGCAGAGAGUGGAGGACGUGUUUGCAAAUGCGCACAAGGCCUGAUUCAUACAGAUUAUGUUUUUCAAGCAGAAUAGCGCCAUCACUUACUUUUUAUCCGAUUACUUUCACCCUGAAAUCCAUCUUCACGAUAAGAAGAAAUUAUGGACAUUUCAGGAGUUUUGGGGAAUAUUAUGAGCAUUUUUUUCCCCUCUCCUUUUUUUGUAGAGCCCGAGGUCCCGCCGUCUCAUAAAUGUCUCUGUCAUCACCUUCGCCAUCGCUCUCAGGCGGGCUGACAGUGCAGGAGGCGUUUGCUCCUUCACACCCAUUUAUAUCCUCUGUUACACUGAUGAAAAAAGUGAAAAAUACGCAGGCAUAUUUCUAACCCAGACACAGAUGACUAUAACUGUCCUGCAUGUUUAGAAUAGGAGCUGAACACACAUCUUUGUUAAAGGAAAAAAAUUCUUGUUUUUUUUUUUCAUUUUUGAGAAGUCUGAUACCGCUCUGUUGGCACAGCUACGUUAUAGCAAGUAGGCAGUUAGCCUAGGCUAAAGAAAAGAAACCAAGUAAACUACAGACAAUAUGUAUGAGAUAUAUGCAACCACCAUAAUCUGACUCAUUUACAUCUUGAUGGAUCAAGUUUUACAUUUCGGUGAUCGUCAUCUUGCCUGUUUUUUAACCAAACAGCAGCCAAAUCAAAUUCUGGCUAGCUAACUUCAUUAGCAAGUUGUAUACACCCUGUUUUAAGCUGUAAUGCUACAUUAUGGCUAGCAAAAAGCAGGCUUAGAAAGACAAUGUGUAUAAGAAUGUAACCACCACAAAAUGAGCUGCGUAACUCUUUUGGUGGUCAUAAUCUUGUUUAUUUUUUAACCAAAAUCGGUAGCUAAAGCUAAUACUGGCUUGCUAGCUUGUUUAGCAAAGUGCAUUCAGUUUUAAGUGAAGCACUUUGUGAUCCGUAUUUUGAAACAUUUUGAGACUAUAAAAGAAGUGCUUGCUCAUAGGAGGUCAUAUGAUCUUGGGUUUUUCUCUGUAUGUAAUUUUGUAGGGUUUACCUUAAAAAAUAAAGUGCCUUGAGGGGACUGUUGCUUUGAUUUGGUGCUGUCUAAAUAAAAUUGAAAAAUUGAAUUGAAUUAUACAUUUACGGUAAGUCUUCUGUACAUUUAGGUAUAUUUACUGUAAAUGUUCUAUAGCUACUGUAUAUUUAUUGUAAGUUUAAUAAAAACUAUCUAUAUCUACCAUAAGUUUAUUGUGAAU
ensembl:lncRNA